CUUGUUGUGUAGAAACUUGUAAGUGUUCAGGCGAUGGAAAGGCUAUUGGUGCAACAUUCAUAGGUAGAAAAGAAGCCUUGGUUUAGAGUCCAAAAGGCUUCCAAGAAUUUAAAAAGAGAUCAUUCUCUUGAACUCGCAUGAGUAAAGAUUGGCUGGGAAAAGGAUGAUCCCGUGUACUAUAAUAUAGAUGGGUGGUCACACAAGUCAGAAUAUAGAAUGGUGGACGUGGCUGGAGGAGUUGUUGCAGAGGUAAAUUUAAGCAUUUCCUUUACGAUAGAUUAAGAUAUUUAUUAAUUUGCGAUACCAUUGUUUAAACAGAAGUCGCUUAAUUAAUCAGCAACUUGCAUCUCACUAUGGGCCACUCUAUCUUGCUGAGUCCUAUACCUUCAUAUGAAACAUAUGUUUAAGGUGCUGAGUGGAGGAAUACUAGUGGUUUGCUGUUAUAUAUAUCAACCUAGCUUUAGAUAUAAGCUAUAUAUGUUCAACAUGUACCCCGCAUG
rnacentral:lncRNA from 1 species